rnacentral:rRNA from 1 species
GAUGAACGCUGGCGGCAGGCCUAAUACAUGCAAGUCGAGGGGUAGAGCUAGCUUGCUAGCUUGAGACCGGCGCACGGGUGCGUAACGCGUAUGCAACCUACCCUUUUCUGGGGGAUAGCCCGGAGAAAUCCGGAUUAAUACCGCAUAAGACCACGAUACGGCAUCGUGAUGUGGUCAAACAUUUAUGGGAGAAGGAUGGGCAUGCGUGCCAUUAGCUAGUUGGCGGGGUAACGGCCCACCAAGGCGACGAUGGCUAGGGGAUCUGAGAGGAUGGCCCCCCACACUGGUACUGAGACACGGACCAGACUCCUACGGGAGGCAGCAGUAAGGAAUAUUGGUCAAUGGGGGCAACCCUGAACCAGCCAUGCCGCGUGCAGGACGACGGCCCUCCGGGUUGUAAACUGCUUUUGUACGGGAAUAAACCCCGCUACGUGUAGUGGGCUGAAUGUACCGUAAGAAUAAGGAUCGGCUAACUCCGUGCCAGCCGCCGCCGUAAUAC